GGAAAUGUAGCUCAGUGGUAGAGUACUUGCCUAGCAUGCAUGAAACCCUGAGUUCCAUUCCUCAGCACCA
rnacentral:tRNA from 1 species